GAACUAUGAUGAGUCUAUCCCGAACCUGAACUGUGAUGACACGGCUUUAUGGAUCUGACUGCUGAGUU